CAGCCGCCAAUGCGAUCUACAACAAGAUGGUGUCUAUGGGGAAGACCAGGGCGGCCGAAAGGUUCCAGAAGAGGGCGAAGUCUUACAUUCGGAGAAGCAGAAGGAAGGGGAAUUAGAAUGUCGCUUGACGUACCAACGGCGAGAUUGACUGGACUGUCCGAUGACUACUAUAUACGGAAUAUGAUUAUUAUACUUAUAGAACAUAAAGCUUGUUGCAUAUUGCUAUCUAAAAUUAACAAAUGUUGCGUCUAUUACUAAUUUUCGAGUUGUAGAUUGCGAUCUUGUACGAAAAUGUAAAAAAAAA